CGCGUCCCUUUGCUUCAGAGUAGGUACUGAUAUUUACUUAUUUUUAUUCAACCAGAUUUACGUACAGCUUAAUAAACAAGCAAACCAAUCUCUAAGCAUCUUGCAAUGAAACAGUAUAAAUGUUCGAUUUUUUAAAACAGCAACGAAAACUGUAAAUAUAGGACUGAAUCCAACCAAGUUAUUACUCAGAGCAGAACUGUCGCAUCCAAGCUGAGCCAGACUCAAAGUAGACCCACUGAAAUGAAUGGACGUGUGUCGCUAACUGAGGUCCAUUCAUUUAUUCUGUGAGUUGAAUUAAUGCUGGAUGCAAUCCAUUAAAACCAUUAAAAUAUCAGAUAAAUAAACAGCCUUUAUUGCUGCUGUUUUUGGGGCCCCCCCCCCUUCUAGUAAUGCCCCAACACAGUCAUUUUGACAGGGGUCACAGGUCAGCUGCUAGGCACGCAGAAUGAAAUUGCCCCCAUCCUGAAACCUUGGAAAGCCAGCGCCGGUCAGAGGAGGGUGGAUUAACGUCCUGACUCAACACAAGACAGCUUCAUAUUGAAACCAGCCUAUCAUUUAUAGCCAUGUGGAAGACACAAGAGCUUCCCACACUGGAGGAAUGGCAGAUGAAACUGAUGGACUAUAUGGAACUGGCGGAAAUGGCUGGCAGAAUCCGUGACCAGGGAGAAGAGUCGGUGGAGGAAGAUUGGAAGAAAUUCAAAGACUAUCUGCAGAAACAUUGCAAAAUUAAAGAAUGUUAGAGUGAUGUUGGAUUGAAAACAAGUGGCUUCCAGCUGUACAGGAUUUAAAGUUAUAGAUAGAUUAAGAUUAAGGAUUAGAAUUAAAAAAGUUUAAGGAAAUGGAAACUUGGUUUUUAAGAGGUAAAAUUUUAAUGUUAUAUUAUAUUAAGAUUAAAGAUUGGGAUUAAAAAAGAGGGAAAGAAAUUGCUGGACAAACAAUUUGAACUGGAAUACAAAAGAGGGAGGUAUGAGGAGGUCCAGAAAAUAAGUAAAUUUAAAAAUGGAGAUGAAAAGG